AACGAACGCUGGCGGCAUGCCUAACACAUGCAAGUCGAACGAACCCUUCGGGGUUAGUGGCGCUCGGGUGCGUAACGCGUGGGAAUCUGCCCUUUGCUUCGGUAUCACUCAGGGAAACUUGUGUUAAUACAGGUUGAUCUCUUCGCACCAAAGAUGUAUGGGCACGGGAUGGGCCCGCGUAGGUUUCGGUAGUUGGUGGGGUAAAGGCCUACCAAGCCGACGUUCCUUAGCUGGUCGGGGAGGAUGAUCAGCCACGCUGGGGCUGAGACACGGCCCAGAACCCUACGGGAGGCAGCAGUGGAGAAUAUUGGGGGAGGGGCGCAAGCCUGAUCCAGCAGUGCCGCGGGAGUGAUGAAGGCGCUCGUGUCGUAAAGCUCUUUUACCAGAGAUGAUAGUGACGGUACCUGGUGAAUAAGCACCGGCUAACUACGUG
rnacentral:rRNA from 1 species